GGCUCGGUGACGCAACGAUAGCGCGUCUGACUCCAGAUCAGAAGGUAAUGAGUAACGGUUAAGAGUUGAGCUUGUUUGUGUUCUAGAUAUUUCUAAAGUUCAAGCUGAUAUAACUACAACUAUCAGAAGGUUGCGUGUUCGAAUCGCGUCCGGGUCA
rnacentral:tRNA from 1 species